ensembl:lncRNA
CAUCCAAAGAUGCCUGGUUCCAGUUCUUGAACAUCUGUGUUCAGGAGUGUGCACUCAGGAGCUGGACAGUCUGGGUUGGAAUUCACACCUUGCCAGUUGUCUUCAGACAGUGUGGAAUGGUGAGCUUGAGGAGAGUCCUGAAGGCAUUGGAUCUGAACACUGCUACCGUAAACUGCUAACCCUGGCCAGGACUCCAUGGACGAGGACCUGUUCCAGCAGGUGAUGGUCUGGACGUGAUCAGAGGUACGCCAAAGUUUGCAGAAAAUGCAGUUUCAGGAGAUGAUUGGCCAUAAUACCACUAGGUCUUGUGAAUAUGAAAAAUGAGAAAGUAUGGUGGUUGUGUCAGUCUGAUGACUCAGUACCAGCAUCUGAAAGUAGCACACUGUGUUAAGGGGAAAUUUCUGGACUCCGCCAAAGGCUGGGCAGAGGUUCACUGUCUGUUCCUGAGAAGUGCGAAGGCCGGGCGGCAAGUCAGGCUGGGGCAUGUCCAGCACACGUGGGAGCCCCACGCGGCUGCCCCUGUUCUCCCAUGGAAUCCCCUCCCUGGCUGGAUGCAUCUGGGGUGUCAUUCCUGCUGGUGUGUUCCUACCUGAAGUCUUUCUCCUCCAGAAAGCCCCUCUGGCAACAAUUCUGAACCAAGAGCUCUGGAGAGUCGGCUUGGGGGCCUGCAUUUUCAGUACCUGGGUAUGCAGCAUAGUGAUGCAGUUACAUGCUCCUGCUCGGUUGCUCAGUUCUGUUGGAUUCUUUGCAACACUUGGGACUGUAGCCCACCAAGCUCCCCUGUCCAAGGGAUUUCCCAGGCAAGAAUACUGGAGUGGAUUGCCAUUUCCUACUCCAGGGGAUCUUCCCAACCCCAGGGAUCGAACCAGCAUCUCCUGCAUCGCAGGUAGAUUCUUUACCCACCGAGCCAUCAGAGAAGCCCAUAUAUGUGUGUGUGUGUGUGUGUGUAUUCUUUUUCAGGUUCUUUUGCAUUAUAGGUUAGCACAAGCUAUAUAGUUCCCUGUGAUACGAAGUGGGUCCUUAUUGUUUGUCUCUUUUAUAUAUAGUAGUGUGCAUUUGUUCAGUUCAGUUCAGUCACUCAGUCGUGUCCAACUCUUUGUAACCCCAUGGACUGUAGCACGCCAGGCUUUCCUGUCCAUCACCAGCUCCUGGAGCUUGCUCAAACUCACGUCCAUCCAGUAGGUGAUGCCAUCCAACUGUCUCAUCCUCUGUCGUCCCCUUCUCCUCCCACCUUCAAUCUUUCCCAGCAUCAGGGUCUUUUCCAAUGAGUCAGUUCUUUGCAUCAGGUGGCCAAAGUAUUGGAGUUUCAGCUUCAGCAUCAGUCCUUCCAAUGAAUAUUCAGGACUGGUCUCCUUUAGGAUGGACUGGCUGGAUCUCCUUGCAGCCCAAGGGCUGUCUUUGUUAAUGGCUGCCAUUUAUUGUGCAGCAACUGUACACGUGUACUUGAUAAGGGCUGACCUCCCCUGUCUGCAGUCUUUAUAAGGAAAUGUCUGCCUGUUUGGACAGAUAAGGACAAUGAAGCUUAGAGAGGAUGUGCUUUUCUUGUGGUGGACUUCUGAGUAAGAGGAAAUGCUGCUGACACGCCAUUAGUAGGUUGGCUUUACCCAGGGAGGGGCAACGGUGAGUGCUGUUCUCCAGUGACUCUUGCACAUCUUGAGCUCCUCUUUGUGGCUGGUGUCUUGAACCUACCAGGAUCUGGGGGUGAGAUCCAGACAGUGGGUCCAUGGCAAUGGACCACGUGAGCACUCAAGCCAUGGGCACCUUGGUCCUGGUGAGGUUGAGUGAUAUCUGAGUUGUCAGUUUUCAUUGCUGUUCUGCAUGCAUCUCCUAGUCUGGAAAGCUCAGGGCAGGUGUAGCAAGCAAGGUAUGUGCAUGCUAAGUCAUUUCAGUCAUGUCCAACUUGUGUGGCCCUAUGGACUGUAGCCCGCCCGGCUACAUGAGAUGUAGAGAAUCCAUGAGAUUCUCCGGGCAAGAAAACUGGAGUAGGUUGCCAUUUCCUACUCCAGGAAAUCUUCCCAACCCAGGGAUUGAACCCAUAUCUUUGAUGGCUUCUGCACUGGCCAUUGGAGAAGGGAAUGGUACCCCACUCCAGUACUCUUGCCUGGAAAAUCCCAUGGACGGAGGAGCCUGGUGGGCUGCAGUUCAUGGGGUUGCUAAGACUAUUCGGACACAACUGAGCGACUUCACUUUCACUUUUUACUUUCAUGCAUUGGAGAAGGAAAUGGCAACCCACUCCAGUGUUCUUGCCUGGAGAAUGCCAGGGACAGGGGAGCCUGGUGGGCUGUCAUCUAUGGGGUUGCACAGAGUUGGACACGACUGAAGUGACUUAGCAGCAGCAGCAGCAUUGGCCAUCAGUUCUUUACCAUUAGCGCCACCUGAGGAACCCAGGACAGCGAGGUGGGGAAUUCAGUUCUUGGCAGAACUCAGGGUGUGAGCAACAAAUACUAGCUCAGUGCGAGUUUCUGCUCUAUGUUGCCCUGAGAUUAAAUUAAGGUUCUAGAGUUUGAAGAAGGGCAGAAAAGAUCUGAGGUAUUGCCCAGGGCUCUGUCUUUACCCACAAACCCCUCUCCACUGCUGAGUCCUUGGUUGGAGUGCAUGGUGGUGGGGGUCCCUAUAGAAACCUCAGAUGUGUUUGAGAACUCCCGGAGGAGAGACGUGUCUUCUUUGUCAUCCCUGAAAUGCCCUCAGUAGGACCUGGGGAAGCUGCCUUAACCCAGACUCUCUCUGGUCCCAUUAGAUGAAAUAGUUUUAUCAUGUGUUUGGGUGGACAGGCAUCCUCACAAAGCCCUGCCUCCCCAUCUUGAGCCUGUAGGACAAGCAACAGGCCAGAAUGUUGACUCCGGGGCCCAGGGAAGCCUCAGGGGCCACUGCACCCGAAGAGGGCCCACAAAUGGGCCAUGGAGGAAGGAGGGUGACCUCCUUGAACCCGCAUGAGCUGACACCAGGAGGCCGGAUGGGAGGGACUCUUUUGUGGACACCCAGAUGUAUCCACUGGUGGAUGGCGGUGCCCAGGCUCAGAGGCACUCAUGCCCCUACCCACCUUGUCGUCACUGCAGGGCUUCGAUGUGAGCCUGCAAAGGAAGAGACGAGACUCUGAAAUUAAAUUUGGUCUUAAAGAGAAAUACACUGUAUUUCUUAUGCUCUCAAGCCUGCAGGCCAAGAGUUGCAGCCAUCGCCCCAGUGAACCAGUGAUGACUCUACUGUCAGAUGAUGCUGGCGAGAACUCUCAACUGUGUUCGGAUUUCAGGCAUAUCUUAGUGACAGCACUGCAAGGUCAUGGGGUGAGGGGUCACAGCCGAUAAGAAGCCUGGUGUUUCAGUUCUGACCUUGACCUUUGCUCAGAGCAUGACCUCAGCCAUUGAUCCACCUCUCUGGACCCUCAAUUUUUUAUUUAUAAAUUAACAUUGGGUUAAAUUAUCUCUGAUGUCCAUUAGUGGUCCACUGUUGUGAGACCGGAAAAGGAGACUCAGAUCCUAAAUUCAUUUCAAACGGGAACAGGAAAAAACCACAUGAGUUCCUUCUAACUCCCUAACUUCUGUUAUCAAGCAGUUCACCAUCUUUUCAUUUCUAUCCUAAUUUAUGCUCGCUUUUUAUGUAGCCUUGUAAGCAGCCACUUAAAAGCAUGUGGACAAGGUUGACUUGGUCCCAUUCUGUCCCUUGGCUCACUGGUGACAUUUCUCCUAGGUGACUGCAUAGGAAUUCCAGACAUUUGCCUUCUUCCUUGGUUCUCCAGUAGCCUUCGUUUGGUCUUAAAAUAGGCACAUGCUUUAUCAUGUGCUGACCUACUAAUGUGAAGAAAUCCCCAAUGUCGGUGAUUUAAAAGGGAGCCCCAGGAAGAUCAUCGUGUUCCUGACCCCGGUGACAGCAAUUAAGUCUGCAGCCUUCCUCAUGUGCAUGUCUGUCCUUGGAUGUAAGUUUUAAAAGAACCAUGGAACCAGCGAGACCAAAACAGAGGGUCUUUGGUACAUGUUAUUCCCCAAACAAAGAGGAAUAUCUAAAUCAGAAAAUGUAUGAAUUCUAAUAUUUCAUAUUUUCACUAAUGAUCUAAUUGUGGAAUAAUAUUUAUUUACUUCCAAUGGGCGACUGAAUAAAGAUGAAGAGAAACAGUUAUACCUGUAUAUG